AACGAACGCUGGCGGCAUGCCUAACACAUGCAAGUCGAACGAAGUCUUCGGACUUAGUGGCGCACGGGUGCGUAACGCGUGGGAAUCUGCCCUUGGGUUCGGAAUAACAGUGAGAAAUUACUGCUAAUACCGGAUGAUGACUUCGGUCCAAAGAUUUAUCGCCCAAGGAUGAGCCCGCGUAAGAUUAGCUAGUUGGUGAGGUAAAGGCUCACCAAGGCGACGAUCUUUAGCUGGUCUGAGAGGAUGAUCAGCCACACUGGGACUGAGACACGGCCCAGACUCCUACGGGAGGCAGCAGUGGGGAAUAUUGGACAAUGGGCGAAAGCCUGAUCCAGCAAUGCCGCGUGAGUGAUGAAGGCCUUAGGGUUGUAAAGCUCUUUACCAGGAUGAUAAUGACAGUACCUGGAGAAUAAGCUCCGGCUAACUCCGUAGCCAGCAGCCGC
rnacentral:rRNA from 1 species